rnacentral:lncRNA from 1 species
UGCUAACAGAGCCUUCCAUAUGCAAGCACCAGAGUUCUAUGCUUCACCAGGGGUUUAGGUCAAGGAGAGCAGGUGCGGAUGAGGUUCCAGGAGGAAGAAUCAAGUUGGAGCUGUAAAGCAAAUCUUUUAUUUACGCAGUGUGCACUGAAAGCCUUAUGAGAGUCGACUUUGGAAAGCUGGACUAUUUUCUCCCUCAAUUUAUUUCAGCUUCCUUUGGAAAAAAAAAAUAGCUCAUGGCUGAGGUAAUAGAGCACAAGCCUUAAAACAUAGGCUGAAGCAGAUGGGAGGAGGGCCAGAGUCGAGAUGCAGCCUUGCUUUUCUGGCUGUUCUGGUUUUUACACUGUGAGAAAAAUAUCUUUUCUAAACAUGAAUUUGUCCUUCCUCUAC